AGCGAACGCUGGCGGCAGGCUUAACACAUGCAAGUCGAGCGGGCAUCCUUGUGGUGUCAGCGGCAGACGGGUGAGUAACGCGUGGGAACGUGCCCUUCGGUUCGGAAUAACUCAGGGAAACUUGAGCUAAUACCGGAUACGUGCGAGAGCAGAAAGGUUUAUCUGCCGAAGGAUCGGCCCGCGUCUGAUUAGCUAGUUGGUGAGGUUACGGCUCACCAAGGCGACGAUCAGUAGCUGGUCUGAGAGGAUGAUCAGCCACACUGGGACUGAGACACGGCCCAGACUCCUACGGGAGGCAGCAGUGGGGAAUAUUGGACAAUGGGGGCAACCCUGAUCCAGCCAUGCCGCGUGAGUGAUGACGGCCUUAGGGUUGUAAAGCUCUUUUCUCCGGGACGAUAAUGACGGUACCGGAGGAAUAAGCCCCGGCUAACUGCGU
rnacentral:rRNA from 1 species